GCUUCCGGGAGAGCUCCGGCAGCAUUGGCUGUACGGACGCCGAAGGGGCAGGUGGAGAAACUCUCAGGCAAAAGAACCGGAU
rnacentral:ncRNA from 1 species